UCUCGAUUGGUCUAGUGGUAAGGAUACCUGCUUGUCAAAAAAAACGGAUGAUGGACUUAUCGUGAGAUUAGCAAAUCGCAGGUGGCCGGGGUUCGAUUCCCCGAUCGAGAG